GACGAACGCUGGCGGCGCGCUUAACACAUGCAAGUCGAACGGAAAGGCCUGCUUUCCCUUGUGGAUUGCGGGUACUCGAGUGGUGAACGGGUGAGUAACACGUGAGUGAUCUGCCCCCAACUUGGGUAUAAGCCUGGGAAACUGGGUCUAAUUCCCGAUAGGACUGCAGGGUGGUGCCUGUGGUGGAAAACGAUUUUCUAGUGGUUGGGGAUGAGCUCGCGGCCUAUCAGCUUGUUGGUGGGGUAAUGGCCUACCAAGGCGGCGACGGGUAGCCGGCCUGAGAGGGUGGACGGCCACAUUGGGACUGAGAUACGGCCCAGACUCCUACGGGAGGCAGCAGUGGGGAAUAUUGCACAAUGGGCGGAAGCCUGGUGCAGCGACGCCGCGUGGGGGAUGACGGCCUUCGGGUUGUAAACUCCUUUCGACCGCGAGGAAGCCACCUGGUUGGAAGGGUGGUGACGGUAGUGGUAGAAGAAGCACCGGCUAACUACGUG
rnacentral:rRNA from 1 species